AGAGUUUGAUCCUGGCUCAGAAUGAACGCUGGCGGCGUGCCUAACACAUGCAAGUCGGAUGUGCCGCAAGGUGCAUCAGACGGGUGAGUAACGCGUGGGGAACCUACCUCUUUGUGGGGAAUAACGUUCCGAAAGGAAUGGUAAUACCGCAUGAGACCGAUGGCUGGGAUGCUGUCGGUGAAACCCGGGGACCGCAAGGCCUGGGGCAAGGAGAGGGUCCUGCGUCUGAUUAGCUAGUUGGCGGGGUAACGGCCCACCAAGGCGUCGAUCAGUAGCCGGCCUGAGAGGGUGAUCGGCCACACUGGAACUGAGACACGGUCCAGACUCCUACGGGAGGCAGCAGUGGGGAAUUUUGCGCAAUGGGCGAAAGCCUGACGCAGCAACGCCGCGUGGGUGAUGAAGGUCUUCGGAUCGUAAAACCCUGUCGUCAGGGACGAAGGUUGUAUGUCUAAUAGAUGUGCAGCUUGACGGUACCUGGAGAGGAAGCCCCGGCUAACUCUGUGCCAGCAGCCGCGGUAAUACAGAGGGGGCAAGCGUUAUUCGGAAUUAUUGGGCGUAAAGGGCGCGUAGGCGGUGUCUUAAGUGAGAUGUGUAAUCCCCGAGCUUAACUUGGGAACUGCAUCUCAGACUGGGGCGCUAGAGUGCUGGAGAGGGUGGUAGAAUUCCACGUGUAGCGGUGAAAUGCGUAGAGAUGUGGAGGAAUACCAGUGGCGAAGGCGGCCACCUGGACAGUAACUGACGCUGAGGCGCGAAAGUGUGGGGAGCAAACAGGAUUAGAUACCCUGGUAGUCCACGCUGUAAACGAUGAACACUUGGUGUGGUGGGAGUUGACCCCUGCCGUGCCGGAGCUAACGCGAUAAGUGUUCCGCCUGGGGAGUACGGUCGCAAGGCUGAAACUCAAAAUUGACGGGGGCCCGCACAAGCGGUGGAGCAUGUGGUUUAAUUCGACGCAACGCGAAGAACCUUACCUGGGCUUGAACUGCUAGGGACCGGUACAGAGAUGUGCCUUUUCGCAAGAACCGUAGCAGAGGUGCUGCAUGGCUGUCGUCAGCUCGUGUCGUGAGAUGUUGGGUUAAGUCCCGCAACGAGCGCAACCCUUACCUGUAGUUGCCAGCGAGUCAUGUCGGGAACUCUACAGGGACUGCCCGGGUUAACCGGGAGGAAGGUGGGGAUGAUGUCAAGUCCUCAUGGCCCUUAUGUCCAGGGCUACACACGUGCUACAAUGGGUGGUACAAACCGUUGCGAAGUCGCGAGAUGGAGCUAAUCGGAGAAAGCCAUCCUCAGUUCGGAUUGCAGUCUGCAACUCGACUGCAUGAAGGUGGAAUCGCUAGUAAUCGUGUAUCUGAAUGAUACGGUGAAUACGUUCCCGGGCCUUGUACACACCGCCCGUCACAUCACGAAAGCCGGGAGCACUUGAAGA
rnacentral:rRNA from 1 species